UAGGGAAUCUUCGGCAAUGGACGGAAGUCUGACCGAGCAACGCCGCGUGAGUGAAGAAGGUUUUCGGAUCGUAAAGCUCUGUUGUAAGAGAAGAACGAGUGUGAGAGUGGAAAGUUCACACUGUGACGGUAUCUUACCAGAAAGGGACGGCUAACUACGUGCCAGCAGCCGCGGUAAUACGUAGGUCCCGAGCGUUGUCCGGAUUUAUUGGGCGUAAAGCGAGCGCAGGCGGUUAGAUAAGUCUGAAGUUAAAGGCUGUGGCUUAACCAUAGUACGCUUUGGAAACUGUUUAACUUGAGUGCAGAAGGGGAGAGUGGAAUUCCAUGUGUAGCGGUGAAAUGCGUAGAUAUAUGGAGGAACACCGGUGGCGAAAGCGGCUCUCUGGUCUGUAACUGACGCUGAGGCUCGAAAGCGUGGGGAGCAAACAGG
rnacentral:rRNA from 1 species